CUUUCCCAGACAAAAUGGCUACCUGUGUAGACAACUUGUCAAAAAUGACCAUCAAUACCAGUAAACAAGUUAAAUAUGCAACUGGAUCAAAAUUAUGAAAGAGAUAUCAGAAAUGAUGACCAUCUCCAGAGGGUAAGGAAAGUUGCUGUUGUUGUAAACGAAGACAAAACUCAACAGAAACCCGCUGCUCAUCUGCAGAUGGACCCUGAUGCGCAGUAUGACAAAGGUGAGAU